GUCCAAUUCCAGGAUUUUUUCUUAACCGUCGGAUCUGAACGUUCCGCCACGCGUAGAGUGAUAAUAAUGGACAUACAACGACAUCGUAUUAUGAUGAAUAAAUGCUUCUAAAUGAAAGUGAAUAAAACGACGUCGUAAUGUAAUAAAUUUGUUUCCUUGUUGGAUAAUUUAAUUGCCAUAAAAGAUUUCUUUCAAGUAUCUUUUGCCAAAUCGCUAUGGAUCCCACCAUUAAUUAAAUUAAUCCCUGCAGAAAUCCUAUAAAUACCCCCACAAUCCAUCAACCCAAAUCCAUCAGCAAACUCAAGCAGUCGAGCAACAAAGCAAAUCUUUUAAAUUUUCUCUCCUUCCAUACACAAUCGUUUCUUUUCCUUUGUGUGUCAAGAAAACACUUCAUUUUCUUUCUUAAGACUCUUUUCUUUGUAUCUAAAUUUUCUUUUUUUUAAAGAAAAAAAUUCAGUGAUCAUGGCUCCUGAUCUUACCACCUCCACCAAGACUACCUCCACUCUGGUCAAGCAAGCUAGCAUAUCUUCUUGUGCUUAUAUUACGUUCUUGGCUGGAAAUGGAGACUAUGUGAAAGGUGUU
rnacentral:misc_RNA from 1 species